rnacentral:misc_RNA from 1 species
GGAUUGAAAGGACAGCUGUCUGGAGAUAUCACAAACUUAGCAGAACUACAGAUUCUUGAUCUGUCAUACAACAAGGAUUUGCGAGGACCUCUUCCAGCAUCAAUUGGGAAUUUGAAGAAGCUAAAAAACUUAAUUCUAGUUGGCUGUCGUUUCUCUGGUCCUAUCCCCAAUUCAGUUGGAUCACUGCAGCAGCUGGUUUAUUUGUCUCUAAAUUCGAAUGCCUUUACUGGACCAAUUCCACCUUCCAUUGGCAAUCUAUCUGAACUUUAUUGGCUGGAUCUAGCUGACAAUAAGCUUGAAGGGCCCAUCCCCAUCUCCACAGGGACUACACCUGGUCUUGAUAUGCUAAUUAAAACAAAACACUUUCAUCUUGGAAAGAAUCAGCUCUCAGGCAGAAUCCCACCUGAACUUUUCAGACCGGACAUGCAUCUCAUACAUGUGCUUUUUGACAGCAACAAGCUCACUGGCAGUAUUCCUUCUACCCUUGGCCUUGUGCAGACUUUGGAGGUUGUGCGCCUUGACAGGAAUUCAUUGACUGGACCUGUCCCUUCAAACCUCAACAAACUUACCAAUGUCAGUGAUUUGUUUUUGUCCAACAAUAAAUUGAGUGGACCUCUUCCCAACCUUACUGGAAUGAAUAUUCUUAGUUACUUGGACAUGAGCAAUAAUAGUUUUGAUGCAUCAUCUAUUCCACCAUGGUUUUCAAGCUUACAAUCCUUGACAUCAUUAAUAAUGGAGCGCACACAACUUCAAGGCCAAAUACCAGACAGUAUCUUUAGUGUUGCCCAAAUACAAUCAGUUGUAUUGAGCAACAACGAGCUAAAUGGCACCUUGGACAUUGGCAACAACUAUGGCGAACAGUUGGAAGUCAUUGAUUUGCAGAAUAAUUCCAUUACUGAGUUUGCACAAGGUUCAGGAUACAGCAAAACACUUAUGCUAAAGGGUAAUCCAUUUUGUGCAAAGAUAGGAUCAACAGAAAACUACUGCUCACUUCUGCAACAGCCAAAUACUUUAUACUCUACACCUCCAAACAAUUGUGUCCAACAUGACUGCAAUUCAAAUCAAAUUAGCAGUCCCAAUUGUAAAUGUGCAUAUCCAAUCACAGGAACCAUGCACUUCAGAUCUAUUUCCUUCUCAGACUUGGGAAAUGCAAGCUACUACAUUUCUCUACAAGCCUCAAUGAUGGAUGCCUUUCAAUCUAAUCAGUUUCCUGUGGAUUCAAUUGCUCCAAGUGACCCAAUCAUGGAUGAGUAUGAUUACCUAGACUUGAGGAUAGAAGUCUUUCCAUCUAAUAGUGACAGUUUUAACAGAACAGGAUUUUCUAUGAUUACAUCUCAGCUGAACAACCUAACAUUUUUCCAGCAUCCAAUUUCUUUCGGACCAUUCUGUUUCACUCUUGAAAACAAUGAUUAUUUUUCAGGACCAAACAAAUCAUCAAAUAAAGGAAUCAUCAUUGGAGCAGCCAUUGGUAGUUCUAUACUAGUGCUGCUAUUACUUGUGGCCGGAAUUUAUGCAUUCAAACAAAGAAGAAAAGCUGAUACAGCUACUGAGGCAGCUAUCCGUCUAAGAGAUCCAUUUGCAUCCUGGGACCGAAAUGAAAGUGCUCUAAGCCGUCCACAAAUAAAUGGAGUGAGAUGUUUCACCUUUGAAGAGCUUAAAAAAUGCACUAACAAUUUUUCAGAUGCCAACAUUAUUGGAAUUGGGGGAUAUGGGAAGGUUUAUCGAGGAAUUCUUACUGGUGGGAAAGUAGUUGCUAUAAAAAGAGCUCAACAAGGGUCAUUGCAGGGUAAUGUUGAGUUCAAAACUGAGAUUGAGCUUCUAUCAAGGGUUCAUCACAAGAAUCUAGUCAGCCUAGUGGGUUUCUGUUAUGAGCUAGAUGAACAGAUGCUGGUCUAUGAGCAUAUUUCAAAUGGUAAUCUAAAGGAUAGCAUUUCAGGUAAGUCAGGUAUCCAGUUAAGUUGGGCAAGGAGACUUCGAAUAGCCCUUGACUCAGCCAGAGGUCUCGCUUAUUUGCAUGAGCUUGCCAACCCACCCAUCAUCCACAGAGACAUUAAGUCAACUAACAUUCUAUUGGAUGAUCAAUUAACUGCAAAAGUAGCUGACUUUGGUCUAUCAAAGCCUUUGGACCACACUGAGGGUCAUGUUAGUACUCAGGUCAAAGGCACAAUGGGCUAUAUGGAACCUGAAUAUUUCAUGACCCAGCAGUUAACUGAUAAAAGCGAUGUUUAUAGUUUUGGAGUGGUAAUGUUGGAAUUAGUUACUGGCAGAAAUCCAAUACACCAUGGAAGACAUAUUGUGACAGUGGUCAGGAUGGCAAUGGAUAAGACAAAAGAUUUAUACAACCUCCAUGAGAUCCUUGAUCCUGCCAUUGGCGUGGGCAACACAUUGAAAGGUUUAGAAAAGUUUGUAGAUCUGGCAAUCAGGUGUGUUGAAGAAUGGAGAGCCAACAGGCCUGCAAUGGGAGAGGUGGUCAAAGAGAUAGAGAACAUAGCAGAGCAGGCUGGUCUGAACUAUGAUUUUGAAAUGCUAUCUACUUCUGCAAGUCAUUAUGAUUCAAACAAAGGAAGUCUCUACCUCCCUGACAAUAAAAAGUUCUAUGAGUACAGUGAAAGUUUUCCACAUUCUGAGAUAGAACUUCAAUAAUAAAGUGCUUUACAUUUGAUGUCCUAAACUUAGUAGUAAUUGGCUAGCACCCCAUGUUUACCUUGGAUCAAACAUGCCAAUUUUGUUACAACUUUUUGUGAUAUCUGUAAAAUAGCAGGGCACUCACACAAAAAUGCUUCUUUGUAUGGUAGUCCUUUAUAAUUUUCAUGGCAUUCUUCUUAAUUGUUCUGGGUGAUUUAAAGCCAAGAUUUCAUUCAAGACUGCUAUCUUAUUUUACGAUCACUAUGUUUCACUGAUUUUUGGUUUUUGUAAUUUCCUGUCAAUUUCACAAAGAAAUUAUUCAACAUUAAGACCUAAAGUGGACUGGAGGUUAUUAUCAAUACUUUUGAUCAGUUCUUUAUUACUAGCACCUACCACCUUGUCCAUAUUCAGGUUUGUGACAAAUCCACUAUAAAUCUGCUCACCAGAAAAAUUUUCAGCUCAACAAUAGAGGCAUUCAGAAACAGUAGUCCAAAAUAAUCAAUUUUCAUUCUAACUGCCUAAACUUUUUGGAAUUUCCCAUUU